AGAGUUUGAUCAUGGCUCAGAACGAACGCUGGCGGCAGGCUUAACACAUGCAAGUCGAACGCCCCGCAAGGGGAGUGGCAGACGGGUGAGUAACGCGUGGGAAUCUACCUAGUUCUACGGAACAACACAGGGAAACUUGUGCUAAUACCGUAUACGCCCUACGGGGGAAAGAUUUAUCGGAAUUAGAUGAGCCCGCGUAAGAUUAGCUAGUUGGUGGGGUAAUGGCCUACCAAGGCGACGAUCUUUAGCUGGUCUGAGAGGAUGAUCAGCCACACUGGGACUGGGACACGGCCCAGACUCCUACGGGAGGCAGCAGUGGGGAAUAUUGGACAAUGGGCGCAAGCCUGAUCCAGCCAUGCCGCGUGAGUGAUGAAGGCCUUAGGGUUGUAAAGCUCUUUCAGUGGGGAAGAUAAUGACGGUACCCACAGAAGAAGCCCCGGCUAACUUCGUGCCAGCAGCCGCGGUAAUAC
rnacentral:rRNA from 1 species